GACGAACGCUGGCGGCGUGCUUAACACAUGCAAGUCGAACGGAAAGGCCCUGCUUUUGUGGGGUGCUCGAGUGGCGAACGGGUGAGUAACACGUGAGUAACCUGCCCUUGACUUUGGGAUAACUUCAGGAAACUGGGGCUAAUACCGGAUAGGAGCUCCUGCUGCAUGGUGGGGGUUGGAAAGUUUCGGCGGUUGGGGAUGGACUCGCGGCUUAUCAGCUUGUUGGUGGGGUAGUGGCUGACCAAGGCUUUGACGGGUAGCCGGCCUGAGAGGGUGACCGGCCACCUUGGGACUGAGAUACGGCCCAGACUCCUACGGGAGGCAGCAGUGGGGAGUAUUGCACAUUGGGCGGAAGCCUGAUGCAGCAACGCCGCGUGCGGGAUGACGGCCUUCGGGUUGUAAACCGCUUUCGCCUGUGACGAAGCGUGAGUGACGGUAAUGGGUAAAGAAGCACCGGCUAACUACGUG
rnacentral:rRNA from 1 species